AACUUGAUCGCAGCCCGGUGGUACGUUUCUCCUCCCCACACGCCUCCUUCCCUCCCACCUUCCCUUCCUUCCUUCCUUCCUCCCUCGCCAGGAGAUGGGGAAAGAAGUUUCCCUGCGGCGCAGUCCAGUGAACGUUUACAGUAUUUCAUUUGAGGAACAGCAACAAGAUCCUGCGGAGAAGCUUUUUUUAUUAUUCUUUUUUUUACGGCAACGCUGAGGAAUAUCUGAGCGCGCUGUCACGUCCCGCUUUUGACUUUUUCUCGAUUCCUAAAUCUUUCUUCAUGUCGCCAAACUAGUGAAGCUUCGGGUCAGUGGGACAGCGGCCGCUCGCCGACUGUGUCUGUGGGUGUACUGGCUGUUUUUGUGUCCCGAAAAAGAGACUAAACAAACCCCCCAAACCGUCCGAGACCAGAGUGAUAAGACCGACUCAGAAUGAAUAACAACAAAAUCGAGAAAGAAAACGACCAGAGUGAAUUUAGCAACCACGAAGAGGAGGUCCGAACGCUAUUCGUCAGUGGGCUACCACUGGAUAUUAAGCCGAGGGAGCUCUAUCUCCUCUUCAGACCUUUUAAGGGUUAUGAAGGCUCCUUGAUAAAGCUCACCUCCAAACAGCCGGUGGGGUUUGUCAGCUUUGACAGUCGAUCAGAGGCCGAGGCUGCUAAGAAUGCCUUGAACGGGGUCCGGUUUGAUCCAGAAAUCCCUCAGACCCUUCGGCUGGAGUUCGCCAAGGCCAAUACCAAGAUGGCCAAGAACAAGUUGGUUGGGACCCCCAAUCCUCCUCCCUCCCAGCAGAGCCCCGGCCCACAGUUCAUUAGCAGAGACCCAUAUGAGCUCACAGUGCCUGCUCUAUAUCCCAGCAGCCCAGACGUGUGGGCGUCAUACCCACUGUACCCGGCGGAGCUGUCGCCGGCCCUCCCACCCGCUUUCACCUACCCCUCCUCGCUCCAUGCUCAGAUUCGCUGGCUCCCACCUGCAGAUGGAACUCCUCAGGGAUGGAAGUCCAGGCAGUUCUGCUGAAGUAUGUGUUCCUGAUGUGUGAUGGCGGCCACGGCCGGCUGUGACGGACAUUGCUGAUUGCCUCCUCUCAUGCCCAAACUAGAAACCAGGAGGACUGACUUAACUCCAGCUCUCGGAACAGCAUACCGUCGGCAGCGGCAGCCGCUUAGGCAUCAGGACAUACUCGAGCCCAGCCUCCAUCACACAUCGAACCCCCCCAAAAACCCACUUUUUAAAAUUUUUUUAUUUUAUACUGUUACAUAGUCUACAUUCACUGGCGGCACUUUAACUACACCUCCUCUUAAACCCAACCAAACAGUCCAGGAUACGUGCUACAAGCGUCUAAUAUGCAAGCGUAAAGACUUUGCAAAGCCAGAUUUCUGGAAGUGUGGCUAAAGUGCAACCAGAUAAUGUUAUUAUACAACCCUAAUUAUUACUAUUCUGUGUAUUAUUCUUAUUAAUGUUAUUAUGAUUAUUAAAUACUUGUUGAAGCAUGACUUUGCAAAAAAAAAAAAAAAAAACCUGAAAAAACCCUAGGGAAAAAAAAUGCUGUACAUUUUUAGAUAUUUUAAAGAAAUACAAAAAUGUAUUUUUGUAAUCAAGAUCAUGUUUGAUUUAAUGUUGUGCUAAAGUGUGCGAGGAACUUGUUGGAAACCUCAAGACUUCAUGUUAAUUUUAAGUCGCCCUGCUUAUACCAAAGUAGUCUCGUCCGUGUUGAAAGCCGGUCACGCUAGCGUUUUGGCAGCGGAUUUUAAAAAUGUGAAUUUUUGAAAAAGCAAAUUGUUGCUCAGCUGAAGUAUAACUGUCCAAAAAUGCUCUCACUCACUCAUCUUCAACAGCUUAUCCAAGAUCGGGUUGCACGGGGGGACAGACUGCUGUCCACACAACGCAUUCACAACCGCAUGCACACCAACGGAUGAUUUAAACUUUCCAGUCCACCUAACCUGCAUGUUUGGAUGUGGGAGGAAGCCGGAGCACCCGGCGGGAACCCACGCAAAAAAACGGGGAGAAUAUGCAAACGCCACACAUAAAGGUCACAGGUGGGAAUCGAUCCCAUAACCUUCUUGCUGUGAGGCAACAGUGCUAACCACUAAACCACCAUGCUGCCCCUGUCCAAAAAGGGAUCAAGAUAAUGUGUUGCUGGCUGUGAGACAAGCCGGUGUAAUAAAUGUAUUCCCUUUAGGAAACUAGAUCGUUCAUUCAUUUUCUACCACUUAAUCAGAGUUCAGAUUGCAGUGGCAAUAGUAGCAAUAGACAAAUGCUACGUUUUAAAACCCACGGAAGGUCUGAGAUUCCUACCGCUAGCUCGUGGGGAAAACUGCCUCGUAUGUGCCACCGAGCCAGAAUUCUCGCUCGGAAACCUAUGAGAAAAUUGAGUAAUCCAAGGUUUAAAUCCAAGAUUUCGUUUAAAUGAUUUUUUUGCCAUAUGUAAUAUAUUGACAUUCUGUGUACAAUUAGUUAUCAGCAAAUCCAAGGUUUCGUUUAAAUGAAUUUUUGCCAUAUGUAAUAUAUUGACAUUCUGUGUACAAUUAGUUAUCAGCAAAAAUUACUUUCAUUUAGCGCACCCCCCCCCCCCCCCCCCCCCCAAAAAAAAGAAAAAGCAUUAGCCUAGUGCUACGGUGACAGGCUAAGUAGUUGAUCCAUAUUUGCCUCUGAGAUAAUCUCAUGAAGGCACUUUUUCCAGAAGUACAACUUUUUUAUGUCUGGUCUUUCCGAGCUUCCGAAGGUUCUGAAAGCAGCAUAAGCAGCUCAUCGUACGCCAUCUUCGGCUAAGUCCGAAAACUAGGUCAGUUACUACAAUUUAUUUAAAGACAAGGCAACUCUGUUCUUAGGUGUAUAAAUACUUUAAAACAAAAAUCUGAGAAUCAGGGUAUUACAAUGAUUAAAAAUGCAUGUGAGAACCCCAGCGCAAAGUGCAUUAAUAAUAAUAGAUAAGAAUCUAAAGCAUUAAAAAAAAAAAGUUAAUGUAUUGAAUUACGAAUUAGCUUCAGCAAACUGUUUUCAGGCCUGAUUUAAAUAAACUGACUCUUGCUAGGUUUGGUUGUUGGAGUGUAGGUGGCUACGUACUGACCUUAACAAGUUUGUCAAAUACAUUCUGAGCUGUAUAUUUUUGGAGUAACAACAAGAUUUAGUAAUUUUACAAAGAAAUUAAUCUUGUAGAUAGAUAUUUGAUGAUUAGCGCCACACUGACAACAAAGUAGCUGCAGCGCAACAUCGCUACGUUAGCUAAUUUUCAUAGUUAAAAUUUUCUAUCACCUAGCGUGACCAGCACUUUUUUUUCCUUUUUCUUUUGCACAUUUGUGUCUUUCUAUCAUGUGGCCAAGCAUACUAGCCCUUUGUCUUGCUUUCCUUGCUUUGGUCCAACUGAGCAGUCAUUGUUGCAAAACGCCAGACUGAGCUCGUAGCGCUGCUUUAGGUUGGAGUUUGAGGUAAUAAUCAGACGCGUUAAAAGAUGAGGCAUAAUGACGGGAAUAAGCCAUCGCUGCUGAAGUUAGGCUGACCCCAGAGACUGCAGACUGAGGCCUGCUAUAUUUAGUUUUCUCCUUUGUCAUGUAGCAGGAGGACAGCAGCGCACCAUUCGAGAAAUAAAAGACCAAAGGCAUUUUUGUACACUGGAGAGCCAUCGAGGCGAGUGGAAUUAUUCCGUUUUUGACAGCUUUGUAGUCCUCAAUCUGAUUUCUUAUGAAGUAUGUUAUUUUUUGCUGCACGUCUCUUUUGGUGUCACUCCAAAGAGCGACUCUGCAUCUUAAAGGCUAUUGUCGCUGUUAGAAAUUUGUCUCGCUUUUGUCUAUUUUUAAUCCAAUACUGUUCCAACCUGCCUUUUGUAAAUUGUGAAUUUACAUAGUGAUAAUUGGAGUGAAGAGUGGAAAAAAAAAACUUUUUGUAAUCCGCAAUAAUGCCUUUGCUGUACGACACGUCGUCGAGCGAUCGUAUUUUCUGACAUUUUGAUGCCAAAAUUC